rnacentral:ncRNA from 1 species
GGUGAACUAUAGUGAGGAUUGUAGUUCACAAAGGUGUAUCCGCGGGCUUGGUCGAUUGUGUGAAAUAACGGAUUCCAUUUGAAAAACGCCAGCAUGAACCCCGGCAUUGCGUUUGCAAGAAACAUCUUGCCGGAUGUGAACAUAUUUGCCCGA